CUGGUUGAUCCUGCCAGUAGUGAUACGCUCGUAUUAAAUAUUAACCCAUGCAUGUGCCAGUUCAGUAUUGAACAGCGAAACUGCGAAUGGCUCAUUAAAACAGUUAUAGUUUAUUUGAUAAUUAAAGAUUACAUGGAUAACCGAGCUAAUUGUUGGGCUAAUACAUGCUUAAAAUUCCUUAUGGGAACGUAUUUAUUAGAUAUUAAACUAAUCGCAGCAAUGUGAUUAAGAUGAUUCAAAGUAACUGAUCGAAUCGAGGCUUGCCUCGAUAAAUCAUCUAAGUUUCUGCCCUAUCAGCUCUCGAUGGUAGUGUAUUGGACUACCAUGGCAGUCACGGGUAACGGAGAAUUAGGGUUCGAUUCCGGAGAAGGAGCCUGAGAAACGGCUACUACAACUACGGUCUGGCAGCAGGGAAGAAAAUUGGCCAAUCCUAAUUCAGGGAGCCAGUGACAAGAAAUAGCAAGCCGGGAAGCAAUUGCUUCUACGGUAUUGAAAUGAGAACAGUGUUAAUCUCUUAGCGAGAAACAAUUGGAGGGCAAGUCUGGU
rnacentral:rRNA from 1 species